rnacentral:rRNA from 1 species
GACGGAAGGUGCAAGCGUUGCUCGGAAUCACUGGGCGUAAAGGGUGCGUAGGCGGCCGCGCAAGUCUGGCGUGAAAGCCCCGGGCUCAGCCCGGGAAGGGCGCUCGAAACGGCGCGGCUCGAGUGCCGGAGGGGAGAGUGGAAUUCCUGGUGUAGCGGUGAAAUGCGUAGAUAUCAGGAGGAAUACCGGUGGCGAAAGUGACUCUCUGGACGGCAACUGACGCUGAGGCACGAAAGCGUGGGGAGCAAACAGG